CUGGCCCUGAAUCAAGGCUGGCAGCUUCCUGAUGCUAUUGGUUUCAAGCAGGAGCAUAUAAAGAUGUCCUUCUAUGAUCUGUUGGCCAUUGCAGAACUUUGGGCAAUGAAAUGGUCAGUUCAUUACAAAGAAACAACU
ensembl:snoRNA